CCUGCGGAGGGAUCAUUACCGAGUUUACAACUCCCAAACCCAAUGUGAACGUUACCAAACUGUUGCCUCGGCGGGAUCUCUGCCCCGGGUGCGUCGCAGCCCCGGACCAAGGCGCCCGCCGGAGGACCAACCAAAACUCUUUUUGUAUACCCCCUCGCGGGUUUUUUAUAAUCUGAGCCUUCUCGGCGCCUCUCGUAGGCGUUUCGAAAAUGAAUCAAAACUUUCAACAACGGAUCUCUUGGUUCUGGCAUCGAUGAAGAACGCAGCGAAAUGCGAUAAGUAAUGUGAAUUGCAGAAUUCAGUGAAUCAUCGAAUCUUUGAACGCACAUUGCGCCCGCCAGUAUUCUGGCGGGCAUGCCUGUCCGAGCGUCAUUUCAACCCUCGAACCCCUCCGGGGGGUCGGCGUUGGGGAUCGGCCCUGCCUUGGCGGUGGCCGUCUCCGAAAUACAGUGGCGGUCUCGCCGCAGCCUCUCCUGCGCAGUAGUUUGCACACUCGCAUCGGGAGCGCGGCGCGUCCACAGCCGUUAAACACCCAACUUCUGAAAUGUUGACCUCGGAUCAGGUAGGAAUACCCGCUGAACUUAAGCAUAUCAAUAAGCGGAGG
rnacentral:rRNA from 1 species